UUAAUCAAUCCUCAUGUUGAUCUAGGCAUAGACUGAAGCAGUGAUACACUUGCGGGCAGUAGGUGGUGUAAUGAGAGAGACGGUCCACCAAGAACACUGUCAAAUCACUCGCACGAAGCGCAGAGACUCACAGGCAGAUGUGGGUACGUGGUUGACGAGACGCACGGCACACGUACAGUGACACCUACCUCCAGGGAAGAAGAGAUAAUUUCACCAGAGGGAAGACUCACGAGAGGACCAAGAGAAGCCGGUGUACAAAUAGCAAGACUUCUGUUGGAAACAAGCAUUUGGCGAACAGAGUGUUUCAGUGGGACAGUUAGAAGAUUAAUUCUUGUGGUAACACAGCACCCAGCUUGGACUUCACACCACCAAAGCACCCAUCUAGGAUUGGCUUCUGUCUUGUACAAGAUGCUUCAAGGCUGUGAUCUGAUCAUCUGCAACCCCAACAUAAAUUAAAAGGUUAACAUAUUAAUAUUUUGGAUGACGGCAGAUUGAAGCACCUUCCCGCCCUGCUCUGAGCGGCACGAACUCUAGCUACGCCACUGCAAAUCUCACCUGAAAGAGUUUAAGUAGAGGGACCAUUAGACUACAGUUGUGUUAUUUGGCCAUUGUUCUCCUAUAAGGAAAGGAAAAUUUACAAGCCUCCUUGACGUCACUUCUGUGGUCACUCCAACUGGACACACCUCUUCUUCCUAGGAGCCAUCAAAACUGGAAGUGCAGCUAUCUUGAACAGACUCCAUGAAUUUGUGACAAAGUUUCGACCAAUUUGCGCCUAACACUUGUUUUUUUGUGCCUUUCGCACUAUUUCAAUAUACAUGGUUUUCCUUUGAGGUGCCCCAGAUGCUUUAUAAUUGUCUUUUCUGUUAUUACAAUAUACACACUGUGGCGGAUGGCUGGGGUUCCUGCCCAGCCAGGAUGCCUGGAGGUACUGAGAGAGGAGCAAGCCGCCCUGUUCUGCGUGGGGGCCACAGGAGCAGAGCUUGGAAGCUCAUCCCGGUUGGGGCCCGUGGUUACCGCCAGGGGGUGCCUGGAUAAUUAUGAAGCCCUGGAAGGCAGCACUUCCGCCACACCAGGAAGUGCUGUCGAAGAAGAAGAAUACAGGUACGCCUGGAGUGCUUCCGGGUGCAAAAGCAACACUUCCGCCACAUCAGGAAGUGCUGCUGGGAGAAGAUCAGGAAGCACCUGCAGCACAUCUGGGGGAUGUAUAAAAGAGGCCGCCUCACUCCAUUUAGGAGCCGGGUGGAAGUGGACAGAGCUUGGAAGAGAGGAGUGGAGGCGACAGAGAGAGAAAGAAAGAAGUCUAAAGGACUGUAUUAUUGGU